AGCUUUCCGCAUCCAUACAGAGAUUUCGCCAGACGCCAGCCCAUUAGGGCUGAUCAGACUUCCAAGAUAAGUGAAGUU
rnacentral:pre_miRNA from 1 species